UCUGACGACCAUAGCGUCCUGGCACCACCCCUUCCCAUCCCGAACAGGACCGUGAAACAGGACCGCGCCGAUGAUAGUGCCUAAACGGGUGCGAAAGUAGGUCAUCGUCAGAC
rfam:Azoarcus aromaticum EbN1 complete genome